GACAGAGGGGGCAAGCGUUGCUCGGAAUCACUGGGCGUAAAGGGCGCGUAGGCGGGAUGGCAAGUCGGUCGUGAAAUCCUUCGGCUCAACCGAAGAACGUCGGCCGAUACUGCCGUUCUUGAGGGAUGCAGAGGAGAUUGGAAUUCCCGGUGUAGUGGUGAAAUGUGUAGAGAUCGGGAGGAACACCGGUGGCGAAGGCGGGUCUCUGGGCAUCUCCUGACGCUGAGGCGCGAAAGCGUGGGGAGCAAACGGG
rnacentral:rRNA from 1 species